rnacentral:rRNA from 1 species
UACGGGGGGAGCAAGCGUUGUUCGGAUUUACUGGGCGUAAAGGGCGCGUAGGCGGCCACCGCAAGUCAGUUGUGAAAGCUCAGGGCUUAACCCUGAAAUGGCAUUGAAUACUGUCGAGCUGGAGGUUUGGAGGGGGACUGGAAUUCUUGGUGUAGGCAGUGAAAUGCGUAGAUAUCAAGAGGAACACCAGUGGCGAAGGCGAGUCCCUGGACAACACCUGACACUGAGGCACGAAAGCUAGGGGAGCAAACAGG